AUGAUCAGAGCUCUAGUCAUUUUUCAGUCACUUUACUGGAUUCAAGGGAUCUUAGGGGCGAAUGAUGUGUCUCAGUCCAGUACACUCUGGGUUACAGUGGGCCAGUCAGCCACAAUAAACUGCUCACACAACAAGGGUUCAGCUUACAGUCGGAUGUACUGGUUCCGUCAACUUCAUGGAGAGAGCAUGGAGCUCAUAGUGUACUCUCCCACAUACGGCACUCCAGAUUUUGGAAAUUUCAGCGAAAGUAAAUUCUCAGUCAGUAAAACAGUUCCUCAGAGCGGCUCCUUCACAGUGAAUGAUGUGGAUUAUAAUGACAGAGGUGUGUAUUUCUGUGCCGUGAGUGAACACAGUGUUAUAACCACAAGGCAGGGCUGA